rnacentral:tRNA from 1 species
UCUCUGGUGGUUCAGUGGUUAGGACUCCAUGCUUUCACUGCCAUGGGCUCAGGUUCAAUCCCUGGCCAGGGAA